GCCUUCUUAGCUCAGUGGCAGAGCACUAGUCUUGUAAACUAGUGGCCAUGAGUUCAAUUCUCAUAGGAGGCA
rnacentral:tRNA from 1 species